rnacentral:rRNA from 1 species
CCAGGGCUUGCAUCCCGAGAUCUUUAGAAAUAGAGAAGUCCUUUAUGGAACUCGGUGACAGGUGCUGCAUGGUUGUCGUCAGCUCGUGCCUUGAGGUGUUCGGUUAAGUCCGUAAACGAGCGCACCCUAGUCCUAUGUUGCAUAUUUCAUAGGAGACUGCCUUGUCCAACGAGGAGGAAGGUUAGGAUGACGUCAAAUCAGCAUGGCCCUUAUGUCCUGGGCGACACACGUGCUACAAUGGCCGGUACAAUGGGUAGCCAACCCGCGAGGGGGAGCCAAUCCCAUCAAAGCCGGUCCAAGUUCGGAUUGGAGGCUGCAACUCGCCUCCAUGAAGUUGGAAUCGCUAGUAAUCGCGCAUCAGCCAUGGUGCGGUGAAUAUGUUCCUGGGUCUUGUACUCACCGCCCGUCACACUAUGAGAGGUAGGGGCACCCGAAGUAUCCGAAUAAUC